AGACCCGAAACCCGGUGAUCUAGCCAUGGGCAGGUUGAAGGUUGGGUAACACUAACUGGAGGACCGAACCGACUAAUGUUGAAAAAUUAGCGGAUGACCUGUGGCUGGGGGUGAAAGGCCAAUCAAACCGGGAGAUAGCUGGUUCUCCCCGAAAGCUAUUUAGGUAGCGCCUCGUGAAUUCAUCUCCGGGGGUAGAGCACUGUUUCGGCUAGGGGGCCAUCCCGGCUUACCAACCCGAUGCAAACUGCGAAUACCGGAGAAUGUUAUCACGGGAGACACACGGCGGGUGCUAACGUCCGUCGUGAAGAGGGAAACAACCCAGACCGCCAGCUAAGGUCCCAAAGUCAUGGUUAAGUGGGAAACGAUGUGGGAAGGCCCAGACAGCCAGGAUGUUGGCUUAGAAGCAGCCAUCAUUUAAAGAAAGCGUAAUAGCUCACUGGUCGAGUCGGCCUGCGCGGAAGAUGUAACGGGGCUAAACCAUGCACCGAAGCUGCGGCAGCGACGCUGAUGCGUUGUUGGGUAGGGGAGCGUUC
rnacentral:rRNA from 3 species